AAGAACAAGAUAAUCAAGGCAAGAACUCAAGCAUCCAUCAGAUCGACUGAAGAGCUGGAAACUUUCUGUGUAUCCUUGCUUUUUAAUCUCCUAAAACCUUAAACUACAUCCCCCUUAAAUUAUAUCCAUAUUUCAUCUUUUAUAGAAUGUUUUGGAUGUCCACAAGCAAGUAAUUUAUAAUAAGAUGUUUUCUGAACUUUCUUAUCUCAGCUUCCCAACAGAAUGAUUAUACUUGACAAGAUUAAUCCACCUGACAGUGGGCAUAAGAUCAUUCAACCGAAACAGCCCUGGGGCGGCUCCAGUCCAGGACAGAUUUAAUGGUAGGAACAAGAAGUCUCACAAAAUGCAGCUGCAGUGGACUUCAGUGCUGCCGGCCCCCAGACAGAUUGUCUUCUCAUCUACAGAAAGCACCUGUUAUUUCCUCAAGAUCUGGAAUAAGACAGCACAGCAGUUCCAUAAGGGGCUCAGGAUGGACACCAAGCAGCGUCACUUGGUGCAAGUGGAACAGAGAGCAGGGUCAGCAAGGCCAGGUGCCUGCCCUCCCAGGCUCCCGAGGAACAGUGUGCUGGGGCCAAAUGAAUGGAAUGUGCUAUGGAGAUGUCCAGCACCCACAGCACCCACCCCCUCCUUGUAUUCUGCUGUCUUAGAAGAUGUGUAUAAAAGUGGCCUCAUGUGGGGGAAUAAACAUUUUGUAUAUGCACACGAAACAGUUCUCAUUUUAGGUGUCUACAGUUUAGAGGGAUUCUCCAAUAUGCCUCAGCUUCCUCAGAAAACAUGAUAGCCCUCAGUCCCAUGGGACACUGGAUCUGAGAUCUGGCUCAUUCCCACACAACUUAGAAAGAGGCCCAGGAUCAGGGUCCCACACCAGACAGUCCUGCUUACCUCCACCACAGAUAGCAGGACAUAGUUGUAUAUGCAUACAUGCACCACGUACACAAGUAUACAGUUGUCUGGGCGGGGAGGGAGUUAACUAAUAGAUUUCAUAUUUUUGAGUAGUUUUAGGUUCUGGGUGAUAACGACGUGUCAAUGUAGA